rnacentral:rRNA from 1 species
GUAGGGUCCGAGCGUUAAUCGGAAUUACUGGGCGUAAAGCGUGCGCAGGCGGUUUUGUAAGCCAGAUGUGAAAGCCCCGGGCUUAACCUGGGAAUGGCAUUUGGGACUGCAAGGCUGGAGUACGGCAGAGGGAGGUGGAAUUCCAGGUGUAGCAGUGAAAUGCGUAGAGAUCUGGAGGAACACCGAUGGCGAAGGCAGCCUCCUGGGCUAGUACUGACGCUCAUGCACGAAAGCGUGGGGAGCAAACAGGAUUAGAUACCCUGGUAGUCCACGCCCUAAACGAUGGCAACUAGUUGUUGGGGAUUUAACAUCCUUAGUAACGCAGCUAACGCGUGAAGUUGCCCGCCUGGGGAGUACGGUCGCAAG